rnacentral:rRNA from 1 species
UACGGGGGGAGCAAGCGUUGUUCGGAUUUACUGGGCGUAAAGGGCGCGUAGGCGGCCAGCACAAGUCAGUUGUGAAAUCUCCGAGCUUAACUCGGAAAGGUCAACUGAUACUGUGCGGCUAGAGUGCAGAAGGGGCAACUGGAAUUCUCGGUGUAGCGGUGAAAUGCGUAGAUAUCGAGAGGAACACCUGCGGCGAAGGCGGGUUGCUGGGCCGACACUGACGCUGAUGCGCGAAAGCCAGGGGAGCGAACGGG